rnacentral:rRNA from 1 species
AUGGCUGCUUCACCGACGCUCCGUCACGUGGCCAUGCUCCCCUUCAUGGCAAAGGGCCACGCCAUGCCGCUCAUCCACCUCGCGCGCCUCCUUCUUGGCCGCCGCCUUGCCUCGGCCGUCACCUUCUUCACCACCCCGCGCAACGCGCCCUUCAUCCGCGCGGGCCUCGCUGGUGCCGGCGGCGGCGCCGCGGUCGUCGAGCUUCCAUUCCCCUCCGAGCAGGACGCCCCGCAGAGCACGGACGAGCUCCCAUCGUCGACCAGUCUUGUCGACUUCGUCACCGCGGUGGCGGCGCUCCAGCCGGCGUUCGCGGACGCGCUCGCCAAGAUCGAGCCCAGGCCGGACCUGCUCGUCCACGACGGCUUCCUCCGGUGGGCCAAGGACAUCGCCGACGAGCUCGGCAUGCCGCGGCUUGUCACCCUCGGCUUCGGCGGCUUCGCCACGUACGUCAAUCGGGCAGUGACGGCACACAGGCCGCACGCACGCGUGAGCUCGCCAUCCGAGCCGUUCCCGGUCCACGGUGUGCCGGACCUCCGCCUCACGAAGGCCGACCUCAACCCGCCGUUCGACGACCCGGAGCCUUCCGGCCCGCACUGGGACUUCAUUUGCAAGAACCGCAUCAGCAUGUACUCCAGCCGGGGCAUCAUCGUCAACUCCUUCCACGAGCUGGAGUCGAUCUACAUCGACCUGUGGAACCGGGAGUUCGACAUCAAGAUGUGGCCGAUCGGACCGCUCUCUCUCGCGGCCUCCGAACCGGCGGUCCAGACCAAGGACGACCGUGAGAUCUCAGAGUGGCUCGACUCGAGGCUCGCCAUGGACCGGCCGGUCCUCUAUGUCGCGUUCGGAUCGCAGGCCGAGCUGAGCCGGGCGCAGCUGGAAGAGAUCGCCGUCGGGUUGGACAACUCCGGUGUAGACUUCUUAUGGGUGGUCCGGUCCAAAUGGCUCAAUCCAGAUGACCGGUUCAAUGACUGGUUCGGAGACAGGGGCAAGGUGGUGGAAGGUUUCAUCAACCAGCUCGGAGUUCUGAGUCACAAAUCAGUGAGAGGAUUUUUCACACACUGCGGAUGGAACUCGGUGCUGGAGAGCAUCGUCAUGGGUGUGCCAAUGCUGUCGUUCCCAAUGGCGGCCGAGCAGAAGCUCAAUGCCAAAUUCGUCGUGGACGUGAUCCAUGUGGGGCUCCGAGUUCGGCCGAAGGAAGACGCCAACAAGGGAGGUAGUGGGUUGGUUAUGAGUGGAGACGUGCAGGUGUUGGCAAGGGAACUGAUCUUGGGAGAGGAAGGGAAACGCGCCGCUGCUAGAGCUGGUGAGCUCUCCCUGUCUUCUAGAAAGACCAUGGAUAUAGGUGGCUCCUCGUUUGAAAACCUUGCAAAGAUGGUUCAGGAGGUCAGUGAGACCCAUGCCAAUGGUGAGUAA